UACGAAAGGUGCAAGCGUUGUUCGGAAUAACUGGGCGUAAAGCGCUCGUAGGCGGGAGUUCAGGUCGAUUGUGAAAUCCCAGGGCUCAACCUUGGAACUGCAGUCGAAACCGGACUUCUUGAAUACUCGAGAGGGUGGGGGAAUUCCUAGUGGAGAAGUGAAAUUCGUAGAUAUUCGGAGGAACACCAGUGGCGAAGGCGGCUCACUGGCUCGAUACUGACGCUGAGGUGCGAAAGCGUGGGGAGCAAACAGGAUUAGAUACCCCGGUAGUCC
rnacentral:rRNA from 1 species